UACGAAGGGGGCUAGCGUUGCUCGGAAUCACUGGGCGUAAAGCGCACGUAGGCGGACUCUUAAGUCGGUGGUGAAAUCCUGGAGCUCAACUCCAGAACUGCCUUCGAUACUGAGAGUCUCGAGUCCGGGAGAGGUGAGUGGAACUGCGAGUGUAGAGGUGAAAUUCGUAGAUAUUCGCAAGAACACCAGUGGCGAAGGCGGCUCACUGGCCCGGUACUGACGCUGAGGUGACGAAAGCGGUGGGGAGCAAACAGGG
rnacentral:rRNA from 1 species